rnacentral:rRNA from 1 species
UACAUGGGGUGCAAACGUUGCUCGGAAUCAUUGGGCGUAAAGCGCGCGUAGGCGGUUAUUUAAGUUGGAUGUGAAAGCCCUCGGCUUAACUGAGGAAGUGCAUCCAAAACUGAAUAGCUAGAGUACGAAAGAGGGUCGCGGAAUUCCCGGUGUAGAGGUGAAAUUCGUAGAUAUCGGGAGGAACACCGGUGGCGAAGGCGGCGACCUGGGUCGAGACUGACGCUGAGGCGCGAAAGCCAGGGGAGCGAACGGG